AGGGCGGAGACUGUGCCGACAUGGAGCUGGGCCUCGCUGGCCGCCGGGUGCUGGUCACCGGGGCAGGCAAAGGUGGGCGGCGGGGAAAGGUGGGCAAAGGCCGGCGGCGGGCAGAGGCGGGCAGGGGACGCCCUCACUGAGCCCGCUCCCGGCAGGUAUCGGGCGCGGCACGGUCCAGGCGCUGCACGCGGCGGGCGCGCGGGUGGUGGCUGUGAGCCGGACGCAGGGGGAUCUUGACAGCCUUGUCCGCGAGGUCACCAGCCCCAGUCCCCAGCUGUGCCGCUUGCUGGGCACAGAGCCUCUGGUUACUGCCCCCUGAUACACACAGUGCCCGGGGAUAGAACCCGUGUGCGUGGACCUGGGUGACUGGGAGGCCACCGAGCGGGCGCUGGGCAGCGUGGGCCCCGUGGACCUGCUGGUGAACAACGCCGCUGUCGCCCUGCUGCAGCCCUUCCUGGAGGUCACCAAGGAGGCCUUUGACAGAUCCGUUGAGGUGAACCUGCGUGCGGCCAUCCAGGUGUCACAGGUGAGCUGCCCUGUGGGCUGGACGGGAAUUCUGGUGAGUGAUGCCAGCUCUGCUUCACCGUCUCGCUGCAAUUCCAGAUUGUAGCCAGGGGCUUAAUAGCCCGGGGAGUCCCAGGGGCCAUCGUGAAUGUCUCCAGCCAGGGCUCCAAGCGGGCAGUAACUAACCAUAGCGUCUACUGCUCCACCAAGGGUGCCCUGGACAUGCUAACCAAGGUGAUGGCCCUAGAGCUCGGGCCCCACAAGGUGAGCAGGGCUGGGGUACCUCCCCCAACCUAGGCCACCCCACUUGCCCUGCUGACCCCAGCUGUCCCGGUAUAGAUCCGAGUGAAUGCAGUAAACCCCACAGUGGUGAUGACGCCCAUGGGCCAGGCGGCCUGGAGUGACCCCCACAAAGCCAAGACUAUGCUGGACCGAAUCCCACUUGGCAAGUUUGCUGAGGUAGAGCACGUGGUGGACGCCAUCCUCUUUCUGCUGAGUGACCGAAGCGGCAUGACCACGGGUUCC
rnacentral:sRNA from 1 species